CCCUUAGAUGGUCUGGGCGGCACGCGCGCUACAAUGAUGCAUUCAAAAAGUCUUCUGACCUUAGAAGGUUUGGUAUUCUCCAAAGUGCGUCGUGAUGGGAAUAGUUUAUUGCAAUUUUUAAUCUUGAACGAGGAAUUCCUAGUAAGUACAGGUCAUCAACUUGUGUUGAUUACGUCCCUGCCCUUUGUACACACCGCCCGUCGCUCCUACUGAUUGAGUGUCUCAAUGAAUUCUUUGAUCUUCUGUCGAUUCAGUUCACUGAUCCGACGGUGGAAAGUUGAAUGAACUUCGUCACUUAGAGGAAGGAGAAGUCGUAACA
rnacentral:rRNA from 1 species